CCUAGAAUUCGGAUCAGACCUUAUCUCUUCUUUAUUGUCUUUCUCCUUCCAUUCUUUCGACCUCGCUUCGUUUAUCUUUCUCUUCAUCUGAGAACGUCAAUAGGGGAAUAUCCAGACAUCAAGCGAUAAUCAGAUGGAGUGAUAGUCAUCCAAAAAGGUAUGGAAGACAGAUGUCACAUGAAACAGACUUCACAGCAUGUCUCUUAACCACUGGGUAAGCAUUGCUCCCUUUCAGCUUCAUAACUGAGAAUGCCCCAUUCCUCAUGAUUCAGGUAGGCUUACAUUUAUUUAUUUAUUUAUGCAUUUAUAUCUCACCUUUCUUCUGAAGAACUCAGUUUGACAAACAUUAUCCUCCUUUGUUCCAUCUUAUUCUUGCAACAACCCUAGAAGCUAAGUUCGUCUAGGAGACAGAAGAAAGGUCACACGGUGAGCUUCCACAGUCAAUUUUUUUUUUUUUUUAUUGCUGUAAACUGCUUAAGGAAUUGGAGAGUUUGGAUACAUCAGUGGUACAACCACGUGGAGCAUAUGACCAGCUUUAGGUGAAAACUUGCACAGUCAGUUUUUUCAUAACUUAACUCUACAGAACAGAAGUGCAUUUGUUUGCAGCCCAGUGCUCACAUUACUGCUCCCCCCGAAAAUGUGAUAUCUGUUUUAUCCCCAGUAUGUUCUGUAUGCAAAUCUCAAGAUAUUAAACCUGAUGCCNUAUAGUUGCAUUUAACUUAGGACCGUAGUGCUAAGCAGUAAAGAUCAUACUUUGCAAGCAAAAGAUUCCAGACUCAAU
rnacentral:lncRNA from 1 species